rnacentral:rRNA from 1 species
CAAUAGCGUAUAUUAAAGUUGUUGCAGUUAAAAAGCUCGUAGUUGGAUUUGUGGUUCGUCCCGCCGGCUGGGUCAUUGACUUUUGCUGUGCUGGUCGUCCAUCCUUGGGUGGAAUCUGUGUGGCAUUAGGUUGUCGCGCAGGGGAUGCCCAUCGUUUACUGUGAAAAAAUUAGAGUGUUCAAAGCAGGCUUAUGCCGUUGAAUAUAUUAGCAUGGAAUAAUGUUAUAGGACCUUGGUACUAUUUUGUUGGUUUGCGCACUGAGGUAAUGAUUAAUAGGGACAGUUGGGGGUAUUCGUAUUCCAUUGUAAGAGGUGAAAUUCUUGGAUUUUUGGAAGACGAACUACUGCGAAAGCAUUUACCAAGGAUGUUUUCAUUAA